UACGUAGGGGGCAAGCGUUGUCCGGAUUCAUUGGGCGUAAAGAGCGUGUAGGCGGCCAGGUAGGCCGGUUGUGAAAACUGGAGGCUCAACCUUCAGAGGUCGACCGAAACCAUCUGGCUAGAGUCCGGGAGAGGAGAGUGGAAUUCCUGGUGUAGCGGUGAAAUGCGCAGAUAUCAGGAAGAACACCCGUGGCGAAAGCGGCUCUCUGGAACGGUACUGACGCUGAGACGCGAAAGCGUGGGGAGCGAACAGG
rnacentral:rRNA from 1 species